CUUUUCGUGACCUUGCAGGGGGAGGAACUUCGUAGACAAAUUGGUGCUAUGUAUUACAUUGAGUGCAGCUCAAAGACACAGCAGAAUGUCAAAGCUGUGUUUGAUGCUGCCAUCAAGGUAGUAAUCCAGCCUCCAACUAAACUAAGAGAAAAGAAGAAAAAGAAAUCACGCAAAGGAUGUUCCAUGAUGGACAUUUUCUGUGGAAGGAAAAUGCUAUGCUUCAAAUCCUGAAUGAUUGAAGAGGAGGGUCUUAUACAUGACGAAAUAUCAGGAGAAUGACCACAAGUUCGUGAAGCUUGAAGUCUGAAUGUGCUUGUUGCACAUGUGUAUAUCUGCACCUUUGGUUAUUAAUCAGUAGAUGUAGAUGAUUGAAACUAGUCUGCUUAAGCAUGGUGCACUGCUGGUGCGGUUAGCUCUCCCUCUGAAUUAGGCAGUUCGACGGAGGCCAAAGAGACAAUAAGAUUUUGUUCUGUCAUGGCGAAGUCAAAGCUUUUGUGAAUCUGAUCUCGUCGUAUUAUCUGUUAGCUACUAGCUUAUCCCAUGAUUCCAUGUCAGAAUCCGUAGCAACAUUCGAGUUUUUGCUUGUCUUGAGCACAGGUAUGUGAUAUUCUAGUCGUAGCAGAGAUACUUUCAAGCAAUCAAGCUGAUUGUUAAAGUUUCUUUUA